rnacentral:rRNA from 1 species
GACGAACGCUGGCGGCGUGCUUAACACAUGCAAGUCGAACGGAAAGGCCCUGCUUUUGUGGGGUGCUCGAGUGGCGAACGGGUGAGUAACACGUGAGUAACCUGCCCUUGACUUUGGGAUAACUUCAGGAAACUGGGGCUAAUACCGGAUAGGAGCUCCUGCUGCAUGGUGGGGGUUGGAAAGUUUCGGCGGUUGGGGUUGGACUCGCGGCUUAUCAGCUUGUUGGUGGGGUAGUGGCUUACCAAGGCUUUGACGGGUAGCCGGCCUGAGAGGGUGACCGGCCACAUUGGGACGGAGAUACGGCCCAGACUCCUACGGGAGGCAGCAGUGGGGAAUAUUGCACAAUGGGCGGAAGCCUGAUGCAGCAACGCCGCGUGCGGGAUGACGGCCUUCGGGUUGUAAACCGCUUUCGCCUGUGACGAAGCGUGAGUGACGGUAAUGGGUAAAGAAGCACCGGCUAACUACGUG